UACGUAGGGUGCGAGCGUUAAUCGGAAUUACUGGGCGUAAAGCGUGCGCAGGCGGUUCGUUGUGUCGGUGGUGAAGCCCCGGGCUUAACCUGGGAAUGGCCAUGGAAACUGGCGAACUGGAGUGUGGCAGAGGGGGGUGGAAUUCCGCGGUGUAGCAGUGAAAUGCGUAGGAGAUGCGGAGGAACACCGAUGGCGAAGGCAGCCCCCUGGGCGUAACACUGACGCUCGAGGCACGAAAGCGUGGG
rnacentral:rRNA from 1 species